UAUGGUAAUUGUGUGCCUGUGUGCCAGCCGCCGCGGUAAUACGUAUGGUGCAAGCGUUAUCCGGAUUUACUGGGUGUAAAGGGAGCGCAGGCGGAAGGCUAAGUCUGAUGUGAAAGCCCGGGGCUCAACCCCGGUACUGCAUUGGAAACUGGUCAUCUAGAGUGUCGGAGGGGUAAGUGGAAUUCCUAGUGUAGCGGUGAAAUGCGUAGAUAUUAGGAGGAACACCAGUGGCGAAGGCGGCUUACUGGACGAUAACUGACGCUGAGGCUCGAAAGCGUGGGGAGCAAACAGG
rnacentral:rRNA from 1 species